GCCGCUUCUACUUCGGCCCCACCUUCCCGACCCCUACCCUGGCCGGACGAUCCCUGCUUCGUGCCCCCAGCUCCUCCCAACCACGUACUCAGGGGACUAAAAGGCAUGUGCAGGAUUUUCCUCCCAGGCUUUCAGGAGCUCCACAGCCAGAGGACCUCAGCUCAUCGUCGGAACCCCAGACUGAAAUGCACAGCUGGCAGACCCAAGUGAGAGAAAGGGGCCUCUGGACUAGCCUGGCUGGUCCUGCUGUUUGUCUUGGUUCCUCCCACUUCCUAGAUGUGCCUGUCAGUGUCUGAUAAUAAACCAGGUGUUGAAGCUUU
rnacentral:lncRNA from 1 species